GCCCCUGGUGCAUGCAAUAAUUCCUCUGCCCACAGCUUCCAUCUCGUCGCCUCGGUGGCCGCACCACGGUUGGAGCCCUCUUUUUUCAUAUCAGGGGCUUGGCGUUUUGGGCCGCGGAAAGGAAGUACCCCGUUUCCCAAGCUUGUUAUUCUCGAACCCCAGUUCUGUUCUCCUCCUUUCUCCUCGUCAUCUGAAUCAAGGAGAGAAUUUCUCUUCUUCUCCGUUUUCGAACCCAACUCGUUCUAUCAACUAAUCCUCUAUAAAUCUUUUCUUUAGCAUCGGGGGAUUUCGAUUCGAUUCCAAAGCUUUGUUCUCCACGGAUCCUUUUAUUGAUUGGUUUUCAACUAUGUUUGCUGGAAGUCUGGAUCUAGCCAUGGUUUUCUUGGCUUUUUGAUAACAAGCGAUGCUUUCUUUAAGGGGUUUUUGGAACAGGCAUAAGAGGAAGGUGUUUGUCGCUCUUGGAGUAUUUGGGAGUGGGUAUGUUAUUUAUAAGCUCUACGAUGCUCAUAGAAGAAGAAUCUCUGAUUUGGAGAAGCAGAUGGAAGGCGAGAGACAAGUUAAUGAAUUCAUCAGGGCCCAAUUGCAGACGCAUUUUGAGAACAUCCAAAGAAUUUCAGAUACGACGACGCUGCCGUAUGCUAUGCACUAUCUGCGGUCUCGGAUAGCGGAGGAGCUGGACCUUUCGCAUUUGACUGAGAAGCUAAUGCAAGGGAAGGGACAAUCCAACGCCAUUACAUCCAAGGAGAAGCUUGAGCUUUGGGAAACGCUCAAAGUUCUGAGUUUCACGAGAACAGCUUCGUCCUUGUGGUCAAUGACAAUGCUUUGCUUGUAUGUUAGGGUUCAGGUCAACAUUUUAGGGAGGCAUCUCUACCUAGAAGCUGCACGUGGUUCGGAAAGUUCUCAGCCACUCGAUGAAUCUGACUCAUUUAGCAGGCAUGGGCAGCAAGACUUUCUGGCAACUGCUGAUUAUCUUUCUGCCCAUGGCAUUAAUAUGUUGAUUGUGAACAUGCAGAAAGCUGCUACGGAAGUUCUGAAAGAAAAGCAGCUCAGGGAUCCUUUUAGCAUGGUCCAACUGCAUGAAACAAUAAUGCAGAUACUGGAGUUGUUCAUGAACAUUGGUGGACAGAACUACUGGAUAAAUUACUUGAUACCUGAGAAUGAAAUUGCAUACAGGCAACUGAUGGUCACAUCUACCAAUGGUUUUGUCGAUUCCUCCAUUCCUAUGGAUGUCGGCAAACUCGAGCAGCUAAUGUCAGAGGCACGGAUGGUGCUGUCAAGCCCGGAUUUUGGAAAUAUUGUGGAGAUAUCAUUGAAGAAGGUAGUUGAUAUGCUAGUAGACGAUAUCAGCAUGCAGCUUGUAGGGAUGAGUCCACCCUCAGGAGUUCCCUUGGCAAAGCUCUUGCCACGAGUCACACAACUAUGCCAUCCACUGCUCGAGGAACCCAGCAGCAAUAAGUUCGUUCAGACCAUUCGAGGCUUGCCAGAUGUUGAACUGUUUUACACCCUUCUAUAUGCAAACUUGCACAUAGAAUCUUGAGUUACUCCGGCGGAGAUGUUAUCAAUUUAUGCAUUGCCAUUCAUAAGAUACUGGAACUUCAUUUGCAGAGCUUGGUUUUUAACACAUGGGUGGUGGAUACCCCAAAGAAAAAUAAAGGAACAGGUCAGGCAAGCCAAUAGCUUGAUAUGUACUAUCUCAUUCUUCAUGUCGUCAUCAUCAAAUAUAUUGUUAUGUUAGAUUUUAUGCCAGGCAAGAGACAAGCAAUUCUGAGAGCAAGCAGCACAAACAAUAAAGAAGGAAGAAAGAAAGAUGCCUCCCAAGGACCACCUUUGGAUCUUCUCAGUGCCCUUCAGCCCAUGUAGUCAUAAUAAUGACGACGGUUGUCUCAUGUGAAACCCAGACUAACGGGGUGCAAAGUAUUUGGGGACAGUCCUCCUUAGCACAUGGUAUGUCUUUUUUUAUGUUUCCAUAAUUCACGGAAUUUUCUUAUACUAUAUCCCAAAGGAUUGCAGAUAAUGUCGAAUUAAAAGGUUUAAACAAAACGAACGUUUUAGGUCAUACAAAGAUUAAGAGGAAAAUGCGCAAAGAUGCAAAAAUUUCUGAGAGUUGUAAGCCCAAGCACUGGGAGGGACCGAGUCUAAGCCUCGUUUUACGCUGGAAGAGUUGACAACCGGGCAGAACGGGUGCCAGCCUGUCUCCAAAGAUCUGUGCUGAAACUAGUUUACAUGGCCAACAGAAUUGUUGCCCUUCGGCCGCCUCCGAAUUAAUAGAAUUGCUUCUAAAUCAGUAACGAAUCAACACCGCUAGUUAGUACAAAAUCAAUAGAAAAGUAAGGCACUCUGCAGCUCGAA